rnacentral:tRNA from 1 species
GCCGAAGUGGUGGAAUUGGUAGACACGCUAGACUUAGGAUCUAGUGCCGCAAGGUGUGAAGGUUCAAAUCCUUUCUUCGGCA